UGCUGGAUAGCUCAGAGCGUAAAGCACGAGACUCUUAAUCUCAGAGUUGUGGGUUCGAGCCCCUCAUUGGGCAA